AUACUCACUUCCACAGCACAUACACUAAAAUUGGAAUGAUACAGAGAAGAUUAGCAGAGCCCCUGUGCAAGGAUGACACGCAAAUUCGUGAAGCAAAUAAUAAUAGC